rnacentral:rRNA from 1 species
UAGUCAUAUGCUUGUCUCAAAGAUUAAGCCAUGCAUGUCUAGUAUAAGCAAUCUAUACGGUGAAACUGCGAAUGGCUCAUUAAAUCAGUUAUCGUUUAUUUGAUAGUACCUUACUACUUGGAUAACCGUGGUAAUUCUAGAGCUAAUACAUGCUAAAAACCUCGACUUCGGAAGGGGUGUAUUUAUUAGAUAAAAAACCAAUGCCCUUCGGGGCUCCUUGGUGAUUCAUAAUAACUUAACGAAUCGCAUGGCCUUGUGCCGGCGAUGGUUCAUUCAAAUUUCUGCCCUAUCAACUUUCGAUGGUAGGAUAGUGGCCUACCAUGGUUUCAACGGGUAACGGGGAAUGGGGCGGGGGCGGCGGGCCGGGCGCGGGGCGCGGCGGGCG